AAACUAACAAGGAUUUCCCUAGUAGUGGCGAACGACCGGGAAUUAGCCCAGCACUGAAUCCUGUAUCUUUGAUACUAGGAGUUGUGGUGUACAGGUUGUGUUUUUAAUGGUUGAGUAUACUCCAAAUUCACUUGAUUGUGAUGUUGUCCAUAGAGGGUGUUAGACCCGUUGGAGUAUACAAGGCUGUUAUUGACACUUCCUAUGAGUCGGAUUGUUUGAGAAUGCAGUCCAAAUUGGGUGGUAUACUCCAUCUAAGGCUAAAUACUUGUGUGAGUCCGAUAGCAAACAAGUACCGUGAGGGAAAGUUGAAAAGAACUUUGAAGAGAGAGUUAAAUAGUACGUGAAAUCGCUUAGAGGUAAACGAGUGGAGCCGAAGCUGAUGUAUGGGAUUCAGUUGAUUGUGUGUUAUCUUGUCUUUAUUGAAAUCUCUCAAGGAUUCUCUAGAGAUGAGCUCGUAAUAUGCGAUCAAUGCACUUUCUAUGCAUCAAAACUGCGACCAAUAGAGCUGUUUUUCUGUCGUGUUGAUAAAGGUGACCAGUUCUUCGGAAUCGGUUUUAUAGUUCAAUGCACGGUUAAACAUAGUGUAUUGGUGAUUGCGAUUUGCUAAUUUUAGUGAUUGUCAAUGCUGAUUGUUUGAUGGUUAGCUCGAAACGAGAUAGCUGUUGAAUGGUUGGUGUAGAUGAUUGCUAAAGGGUAAAUCUAUAGUCUGCAGUGUAUAUGUAGGUUACCCUGCUCGUCCCCGUCUUGAAACCANGGACCCAAGGAGUUUUAUAUGAUCGCGAGUCAAAGGGCUUUACGAAACCCCAUGGCGAAAUUAAUGUAAAGGCUUGCUUCGGUAAGCUGUGAUGUGACCUCGUGGAAACACAGAGUGCAACAUCGACCCGUCUAAAGAUGUUCGCAUCUGGGCGGAGUUUGAGCGAUCAUGUAGAGACCCGAAAGAUGGUGAACUAUGCUUGUGCAGGUUGAAGUCAGAGGAAACUCUGAUGGAGGACCGCCGCGGUUCUGACCGUGCAAAUCGAUCGUCGGACCAUGAGUAUAGGGGCGAAAGACUAAUCGAACCAUCUAGUAGCUGGUUCCCUCCGAAGUUUCCCUCAGGAUAGCUGGCAUUUGUGAUUGUAGUUUUACCUGGUAAAGCGAAUGAUUAGAAGUAUUGGGGACGAAAUGUUCUCAACUUAUUCUCAAACUUUAAAUGGGUUCGAAGUAUGUCUCUCUUUAUUGGAGAUGUACAUCGAAUACGAAUGCCUAGUGGGCCAUUUUUGGUAAGCAGAACUGGCGAUGUGGGAUGAACCAAACAUCUGGUUAAGGUGCCUAACAUCACGCUCAUGAGAAACCACAAAAGGUGUUGGUUGAUAAAGACAGCAGGACGGUGGACAUGGAAGUCGUCAUCCGCUAAGGAGUGUGUAACAACUCACCUGCCGAAUCAACCAGCCCUGAAAAUGGAUGGCGCUGUAGCGUGGGACCUAUACCGGAUCGAUGUCGUAAGUUGGUGUUUACACCGAACGAGUAUGCGAUAUCGUGUAGGAGGGUGCCGUGGUUGCUAAGAAGCUACUGGCGUGAGUCAGAGUGGAGCGGUCACGGGUACAGAUCUUGGUAGUAGUAGCAAUUAUUCAAGUGAGAUCCUUGAAG
rnacentral:rRNA from 1 species